rnacentral:lncRNA from 1 species
CGUGUCUUAACCAGAGGAAAAUAUUACAUGUUUUCACCCUGAAACAGUCAACUGCUAGUGGAGAUUGGGUGGGGAAGAGGACAUAACAGAACGAAAGCCAAGAAGAAAAUUGCAGCAAAGGGAUGGAGGAGUGCUGCUUAACCGUCUGUCUCCUAAAGUCUUCAGAUGGUGACUAGAUGCCUACAGAUAAGACAUUUUUUAAUCAAGAAGUUAGAGAACUCCCUAGCUGAAAUGACACGGAGUGAGUCAUAUGGUACAUCAGACCAGAUCAUCUAAAGAAAUAUUCAGGCUUUCAAAUAUGCAUCCCUUUGAAUUCAGUUCCCAGGGCAGAGUGAAGAAAAUGGGCAUCAAUUUAGACUGUCUCUGCCAGGAAACAUAUAAUAAUGCUGUCGUUUCUAAGAAAACUCUGCAGCAGCAGGCUCAGACAGCUAUGAAGUAGAACACAUGCAUGGAUUUGUCAUCCUGCCUUACUCUGAAACAACAUUAGCUUCUUUGUCAAUUGUGAGG